rnacentral:rRNA from 1 species
AUGACUCUCGGCAACGGA